CCUACGGGAGGCAGCAGUGGGGAAUAUUGCACAAUGGGGGAAACCCUGAUGCAGCAACGCCGCGUGAGUGAGGAAGGAUUUCGGUGUGUAAAGCCCUGUCAGCAGGGAAGAAAAAAGACGGUACCCGACCAAGAAGCCCCGGCUAAAUACGUGCCAGCAGCCGCGGUAAUACGUAGGGGGCAAGCGUUAUCCGGAAUUACUGGGUGUAAAGGGAGCGUAGACGGGGAGGUAAGUCAGAAGUGAAAGCCCGAGGCGCAACCGUGGAACUGCUUUGGAAACUGGCAUCCUUGAGUACGGGAGAGGUAAGCGGAAUUCCUGGUGUAGCGGUGAAAUGCGUAGAUAUUAGGAGGAACACCGGUGGCGAAGGCGGCUUACUGGACCGAAACUGACGUUGAGGCUCGAAAGCGUGGGGAGCAAACAGGAUUAGAUACCCGGGUAGUC
rnacentral:rRNA from 1 species